GCUCAUUUCUACUUGCCAACGCACAGAUUGUGGAUUUUCCGAUUGUCUAUUGCAAUGAGUCCUUUUGCAAAAUUAGUGGCUACAAUCGCGCGGAAGUCAUGCAGAAGUCGUGCAGAUGCGGCUUCAUGUAUGGCGAGCUGACAGACAAGGAAA